rnacentral:rRNA from 1 species
UCGGGAAUUUUGGGCAAUGGGGGAAACCCUGACCCAGCAACGCCGCGUGAAGGAUGAAGUAUUUCGGUAUGUAAACUUCGAAAGAAUAGGAAGAAUAAAUGACGGUACUAUUUAUAAGGUCCGGCUAACUACGUGCCAGCAGCCGCGGUAAUACGUAGGGACCAAGCGUUGUUCGGAUUUACUGGGCGUAAAGGGCGCGUAGGCGGCAAUUCAAGUCAUCUGUGAAAUCUCCGGGCUUAACUCGGAACGGUCAGAUGAUACUGCUUUGCUAGAGUGCAGAAGGGGCAAUCGGAAUUCUUGGUGUAGCGGUGAAAUGCGUAGAUAUCAAGAGGAACACCUGAGGUGAAGACGGGUUGCUGGGCUGAUACUGACGCUGAGGCGCGAAAGCUAGGGUAGCAAACGGGAUUAGAUACCCACGUAGUCCCUGAGCGGGCUGGCAAGGCGCAU